CAUUAAUCUCAGAAAAAUAUGUUGUAAAGAAAGUAUAAAGGUUUAUAAAGAGAAGUAUAUUGAUAUUGCACUGUUCGCCGUCUUUCUCUCCUUAUGUUAAAGGUGCAAUGUGUAUGAGGAAAGAGUAAACUCUAACAUUUACCUGUCUCAAUUAGAUUAAUCUCUCCUCGAGAUAUACCAUGGAUUUAACCUGUGAGUUGGUCCAAUGGGAACUUGGAAUUCUCUAUUUGAAUGUAUCACUCUCCAAAAAAAUAAAUCCAUAAUUUGGUAUGUCUAACAUUCCUCAUAGCAAGGCAUGUAUGAUAGGAAGUCAUCCGUUAUAUAUCCAGGCACCCACAGAUGUGUUAAUAAAGUGAUUGCACAUUUUGGCACUACAGAGGCAUAAAUACUGCACUUUGUAUAUAAAGAAGUGCCAAUGUUUGUCAUCACUGUGCAAAGCUGCUUCUCAUCAAUUAGAACAGGGUUGUCAAACAUGCGGCCCCCCAGAUGUUGCUGAACUACAACUCCCAUGAUUCUUUCAAUGAAACAGAUAGCCAGGGAAUCAUGGGAGUUGUAGUUCAGCAACAUCUGGGGGCCGCAUGUUUGACAACCCUGAAUUAGAAGAAAGUAAACGAUCACAGAAAAAUCACAAGAGGGCUUAAUUGAUAUAAAAUAUGUGGGUAUCUGGUCUUCAUUGUAUGAGAGUCCACUAGGCACAUUGGAAAUGUAAACUGAAUGUACACCUAGAUAUUUUGUAAAAUAAUACAAAUUAUGUAACUUUUUGGAUUGUUUAAAAUUUGUAAGACAUAACAGUUAAACGAAAGUAAUGUUAAUUUCAUGAAGAUACAAUUGUCCCACAAGUCUCAAUGUACCUUUUAAAAAAAAUGGUAACUUGUAAUAUUGGAUUUUUAGGGACACACAGCUAAACUGUGCCUUUUAAACUCCACUGAAAUCGACAUGUAUAUAUUUUUGAAAUUAC